AAAAAGGGUGUUUGCCGCUUUGAUGGCACGUCGGCCGGCGACGGUCGGCGGAGUAUGGUUAUCAAGACAUACUCAACACGUAAUUUUUUUAAUGGUGAGGCAGUUGGCUACCGAUAUGUACCGGCGCCUCC